AGCAGCCGCGGUAAUUCCAGCUCCAAUAGCGUAUAUUAAAGUUGUUGCAGUUAAAAAGCUCGUAGUUGAAUUUCGGGAUCAAAUUGUUGGUCGUGCUUCGGUACGCACUGGCAUUAUUGGUUCCUACCUUCUGAAGAACCGCGAUGUCAUUAAUUUGGUGUCGUGGGGAAUCAGGACUGUUACUUUGAAAAAUUAGAGUGUUUAAAGCAGGCUUACGCUUGAAUACAUUAGCAUGGAAUAAUGAAAUAGGACGCUUGAUUCUAUUUUGUUGGUUUCUAGGAUCGACGUAAUGAUUAAUAGGGAUAGUUGGGGGCAUUAGUAUUCAAUUGUCAGAGGUGAAAUUCUUGGAUUUAUUGAAGACUAACUACUGCGAAAGCAUUUGCCAAGGAUGUUUUCAUUAAUCAAGAACGAAAGUUAGGGGAUCGAAGACGAUCAGAUACCGUCGUAGUCUUAACCAUAAACUAUGCCGACUAGGGAUCGGAUGAUGUUAAUUUUUAAUGUACUCAUUCGG
rnacentral:rRNA from 1 species